ensembl:snRNA U5 U5 spliceosomal RNA
AUAGUCUGGUUUCUCUUGAGAUCAUAUAAAUCUUUCACCUUUUACUAAAUAUUUCCAUGGAGAGGAACAGUUAAGAGUUUUUAACUCAUUUUUUUAAGAGAAUAAUUUUUUUUU